rnacentral:rRNA from 1 species
GGCCCACCAAGGCGACGAUUGGUAGCCGGACUGAGAGGUUGAACGGCCACAUUGGGACUGAGACACGGCCCAGACUCCUACGGGAGGCAGCAGUGGGGGAUAUUGCACAAUGGGGGAAACCCUGAUGCAGCGACGCCGCGUGGAGGAAGAAGGUUUUCGGAUUGUAAACUCCUGUCGUUAGGGACGAUAAUGACGGUACCUAACAAGAAAGCACCGGCUAACUACGUGCCAGCAGCCGCGGUAAAACGUAGGGUGCAAGCGUUGUCCGGAAUUACUGGGUGUAAAGGGAGCGCAGGCGGACCGGCAAGUUGGAAGUGAAAACUAUGGGCUCAACCCAUAAAUUGCUUUCAAAACUGCUGGCCUUGAGUAGUGCAGAGGUAGGUGGAAUUCCCGGUGUAGCGGUGGAAUGCGUAGAUAUCGGGAGGAACACCAGUGGCGAAGGCGACCUACUGGGCACCAACUGACGCUGAGGCUCGAAAGCAUGGGUAGCAAACAGGAUUAGAUACCCUGGUAGUCCAUGCCGUAAACGAUGAUUACUAGGUGUUGGAGGAUUGACCCCUUCAGUGCCGCAGUUAACACAAUAAGUAAUCCACCUGGGGAGUACGACCGCAAGGUUGAAACUCAAAGGAAUUGACGGGGGCCCGCACAAGCAGUGGAGUAUGUGGUUUAAUUCGAAGCAACGCGAAGAACCUUACCAGGUCUUGACAUCCGAUGCAUAGUGCAGAGAUGCAUGAAGUCCUUCGGGACAUCGAGACAGGUGGUGCAUGGUUGUCGUCAGCUCGUGUCGUGAGAUGUUGGGUUAAGUCCCGCAACGAGCGCAACCCUUAUUGCCAGUUACUACGCAAGAGGACUCUGGCGAGACUGCCGUUGACAAAACGGAGGAAGGUGGGGAUGACGGCAAAUCAUCAUGCCCUUUAUGACCUGGGCUACACACGUACUACACUGGUGUUUAACAAAGAGAAGCAAGACCGCGAGGUGGAGCAAAACUCAAAAACAACGUCUCAGUUCAGAUUGCAGGCUGCAUCUCGCCUGCAUGAAGUCGGAAUUGGUAGUAAUCGCGGAUCAGCAUGCCGCGGUGAAUACGUUCCGGGGCCUUGUACACACCGCCCGUCACACCAUGAGAGCCGGGGG